UACGUAGGUGGCAAGCGUUGUCCGGAUUUAUUGGGUUUAAAGGGUGCGUAGGCGGCCCUGUAAGUCAGUGCUGAAAUAUCCCGGCUUAACCGGGAGGGUGGCAUCGAUACUGCAGGGCUUGAGUGAAGUCGAGGUAGGCGGAAUUGACGGUGUAGCGGUGAAAUGCUUAGAUAUCGUCAAGAACACCGAUAGUGAAGACAGCUUACUAGGCUUAUACUGACGCUGAGGCACGAAAGUGUGGGGAUCAAACAGG
rnacentral:rRNA from 1 species